AACGAGGCGAACCGGGGGAACUGAAACAUCUAAGUACCCCGAGGAAAAGAAAUCAACCGAGAUUCCCCCAGUAGCGGCGAGCGAACGGGGAGCAGCCCGGAGUCUGAAUCAGCUUGUGUGUUAGUGGAAGCGUCUGGAAAGUCGCAGGGUACAGGGUGAUACUCCCGUACACUAAAACACACAGGUUGUGAACUCGAAGAGUAGGGCGGGACACGUGGUAUCCUGUCUGAAUAUGGGGGGACCAUCCUCCAAGGCUAAAUACUCCUGACUGACCGAUAGUGAACCAGUACCGUGAGGGAAAGGCGAAAAGAACCCCGGCGAGGGGAGUGAAAAAGAACCUGAAACCGUGUACGUACAAGCAGUAGGAGCCCACUUGUUGGGUGACUGCGUACCUUUUGUAUAAUGGGUCAGCGACUUAUAUUCUGUAGCAAGGUUAACCGUAUAGGGGAGCCGCAGGGAAACCGAGUCUUAACUGGGCGUUAAGUUGCAGGGUAUAGACCCGAAACCCGGUGAUCUAGCCAUGGGCAGGUUGAAGGUUGGGUAACACUAACUGGAGGACCGAACCGACUAAUGUUGAAAAAUUAGCGGAUGACUUGUGGCUGGGGGUGAAAGGCCAAUCAAACCGGGAGAUAGCUGGUUCUCCCCGAAAGCUAUUUAGGUAGCGCCUCGUGAACUCAUCUUCGGGGGUAGAGCACUGUUUCGGCUAGGGGGUCAUCCCGACUUACCAACCCGAUGCAAACUACGAAUACCGAAGAAUGUUAUCACGGGAGACACACGGCGGGUGCUAACGUCCGUCGUGAAGAGGGAAACAACCCAGACCGCCAGCUAAGGUCCCAAAGUCAUGGUUAAGUGGGAAACGAUGUGGGAAGGCCCAGACAGCCAGGAUGUUGGCUUAGAAGCAGCCAUCAUUUAAAGAAAGCGUAAUAGCUCACUGGUCGAGUCGGCCUGCGCGGAAGAUGUAACGGGGCUAAACCAUGCACCGAAGCUGCGGCAGCGACACUAUGUGUUGUUGGGUAGGGGAGCGUUCUGUAAGCCGUUGAAGGUGGCCUGUGAGGGUUGCUGGAGGUAUCAGAAGUGCGAAUGCUGACAUAAGUAACGAUAAUGCGGGUGAAAAACCCGCACGCCGGAAGACCAAGGGUUCCUGUCCAACGUUAAUCGGGGCAGGGUGAGUCGACCCCUAAGGCGAGGCCGAAAGGCGUAGUCGAUGGGAAACAGGUUAAUAUUCCUGUACUCGGUGUUACUGCGAAGGGGGGACGGAGAAGGCUAUGUUGGCCGGGCGACGGUUGUCCCGGUUUAAGCAUGUAGGCGGAUGUUCCAGGUAAAUCCGGAACGUCACUAACGCUGAGGUGUGAUGACGAGGCACUACGGUGCUGAAGUGACAAAUGCCCUGCUUCCAGGAAAAGCCUCUAAGCAUCAGGUAACAUCAAAUCGUACCCCAAACCGACACAGGUGGUCAGGUAGAGAAUACCAAGGCGCUUGAGAGAACUCGGGUGAAGGAACUAGGCAAAAUGGUGCCGUAACUUCGGGAGAAGGCACGCUGAUGGUAGGUGAAGCGACUUGCUCGUGGAGCUGAAAUCAGUCGAAGAUACCAGCUGGCUGCAACUGUUUAUUAAAAACACAGCACUGUGCAAACACGAAAGUGGACGUAUACGGUGUGACGCCUGCCCGGUGCCGGAAGGUUAAUUGAUGGGGUUAUCCGUAAGGAGAAGCUCUUGAUCGAAGCCCCGGUAAACGGCGGCCGUAACUAUAACGGUCCUAAGGUAGCGAAAUUCCUUGUCGGGUAAGUUCCGACCUGCACGAAUGGCGUAAUGAUGGCCAGGCUGUCUCCACCCGAGACUCAGUGAAAUUGAACUCGCUGUGAAGAUGCAGUGUACCCGCGGCAAGACGGAAAGACCCCGUGAACCUUUACUAUAGCUUGACACUGAACACUGGUCCUUGAUGUGUAGGAUAGGUGGGAGGCUUUGAAGUGUGGACGCCAGUCUGCAUGGAGCCAUCCUUGAAAUACCACCCUUUAAUGGCUGGUGUUCUAACGUGGGCCCCUGAUCGGGGUUGCGGACAGUGUCUGGUGGGUAGUUUGACUGGGGCGGUCUCCUCCUAAAGAGUAACGGAGGAGCACGAAGGUCAGCUAAUCCUGGUCGGACAUCAGGAGGUUAGUGCAAUGGCAUAAGCUGGCUUGACUGCGAGCGUGACGGCGCGAGCAGGUGCGAAAGCAGGUCAUAGUGAUCCGGUGGUUCUGAAUGGAAGGGCCAUCGCUCAACGGAUAAAAGGUACUCCGGGGAUAACAGGCUGAUACCGCCCAAGAGUUCAUAUCGACGGCGGUGUUUGGCACCUCGAUGUCGGCUCAUCACAUCCUGGGGCUGAAGUAGGUCCCAAGGGUAUGGCUGUUCGCCAUUUAAAGUGGUACGCGAGCUGGGUUUAGAACGUCGUGAGACAGUUCGGUCCCUAUCUGCCGUGGGCGCUGGAGAAUUGAGGGGGGCUGCUCCUAGUACGAGAGGACCGGAGUGGACGCAUCACUGGUGUUCGGGUUGUCAUGCCAAUGGCAUUGCCCGGUAGCUAAAUGCGGAAGAGAUAAGUGCUGAAAGCAUCUAAGCACGAAACUUGCCCCGAGAUGAGUUCUCCCUGAC
rnacentral:rRNA from 1 species